UUCUCAUAGUUGAUAGGGUUCGGCUCCGCUCUGCUGCAGGAUGUUGACCCCAAUCGUGACAAUUUUGUGGGCGCAGGAGUCAUUCACACAAAAUCCAUCCAGGUCGGAUGUUUGUUGAGGCUGGAACCCAACAGUCAGGCGCAGAUGUAUCGCCUCACACUACGCACAAGCAAGGAGGCUGUGUCGAAGCGACUAUGUGCAUUACUGUCUCAACAGUUCUGAAGUCUCAACAUGUAAUCGAUCUCUUACACUAUACUGUGUGUUUGUUUUGAGUCUGAGCGUGUGUCCGUGUGCGCAUGAGUGCGUGAUGGUCCAUUUAUCUAUGCGCCACAUCCAGUGAAAUCUUCAAGAAGCAUCAUGUGACGUCCUUUAAGUACAGUAUAUGUUUACGUGAUUGUAGAGGUUUUUUUGCUAUUGAGGGACUUGGAAGAUUCCUUGGUAUGCGAGGCAUCAUGUGAGGCAGAGGGAAAAGGGAGAAGGUGAGCACAGCUGACACUAGGUUGUGGGGAAGCUGACACUACGUAGCUGCUAUCUGUGGUACUUCUCAAUCAUGUUGAUGAGAGCCCCUCAAUGAUUGUAACGCGCCCCAGUCCUGGGAUUGUGGAAUGUGACGGCAGUAGCCCUCACUGCCUGCUUUUUGUUUCCAAGAUAUUGGUGAUCAGAAAGGCUCCUCGCAAACCCCAGCUUGGUAUUGCAGUCACAUGGUGUCAGGCUGAGCCACACACAGCCCUGGAAAGAGUGCCCUGCACGGCAUGCUGACUUAACUCUGUGGUUUGGCGUUGCCAUUCCCUGCAGUCUUGGGUUAGGGAGUGACCCUAGUGGCAGUUUUGCGUCUCGGUUGCUCUGCCAGUGUCGGGCUGUGCUGGUGCCUGGUGAAGGUGAAGUCAGACUCGGCCAUAAAGCUUCAGUUAUGCCCUCCCAGUUGAACAGCCCAUGCUAACUUGCUGCCUCGACUUGCACACAGGACACAGCAACUUCAGGGCGUUUGAUGACACCUUGCUGUCUGAACAUCUGUCCUCGAGCAACAAACUGUCUUUGAGAGAUGGAGAGUGAGUGUAGGGGGUGAACAUUGGGCAGAAUAUUUUCAGUAGCUAUUGGGUGAUUUGCCCUUUUUGUUCUCCAUGCCUCUGCACAUCUCAAUUAGAUGAUGCCCGAAUACCAAAAGACUUGGAAGUUCCACCUCGCUGUUAAUCGAUAUAGUCAUUCCUUAUAUUAAAAGAAAGUAUGAAGUAAUUGUAAAAUGUAUGUGUAUAUAACUCCUUAUUUAGGGUUGGAUAGAAAUACCUGUAUGACCAAUUUACUCUCUGGUCACUGAUGUUAAGUUAGCUGUUUAAAUGUCACCACUGAAAAUUAAGAGGGUGGGCAAACUUUUUUUUUAAUUUAACCUUCCGCUUUACAUUUUGUUACAAGUGCAAAAAGACUGGAACAUUUCCCUUCUCAUCCUCUUUGUCUUCGCUCGUUUCUUUAGAAAACAAAGUCUGCUCUCCUGUCACCUUUAAGUCCCGCUCGAGUCAAACUCAUUCCCUCCUCCCCUGCUGUUAGUGGCCAGCACGAACUGCAUGAUGCGUGCGAUUGAGCAGAAAUGUUUGCUUUAGUGUAAAUGCAAUGAAACAUGACAAUGGGGUGAAUUGUUCCUUACUCUGAAUCUGCUUUCAUGCCAGCACCACUUUGUUUGGUUCCGAGUCUGGGAAGUCUGUGUCCAUGAGCCAGCUCCUCAGCGUCUACACUUCUCAAGCCAGCUUCCCCAUCCUGUGCAGACCCAGUUCUUCAUGGAUUUACAAGGAACCGGAUUUGGCAUCAUAAACCGAGAGGAAAAGCAGCUUAAACUGCUUCUGUCUCCUGCAUUCAAAAGUUUAAAAUUUCUCUUUCUUUUCCCCUACCCCCUGCCCUCUCCAGCUCUCUGCUUCACUCAAAGCGUCCUUCAAUUUUGAAUGUGUCAUCUGUCUGUUUUGGGUCGGCUUGCUUGUUCAUCCCCACCUCCUGUUUCUUUUUACCUACUACCACUAUUACUACUGCUCUGGGAGUUGUCUUGUAAAUGGUGAGUGAACCAGUGCUGUGCUUACCCCAGGUUUAGUAUAACCUCCCCUCGUUUUGUUCAGGAGAAUCCCAUCUGCCUAAUGCCUGUAUAUAGAACUAACCCAAGUGACUGGAUAACAGGGCAGUGGGGCUUCUUUGCUGAGCUGUAUAGAGAGAGCCUGACCAGUUUCAAAGGCUGAUUUUUAACAAGAGCAAAACCGCUGGUAAAUUAAUGGGGAUGGGGGGGAGCCAAAUUAAAUUUUCAGUGGCAGCAGUGAGUUGGACCGUUUUAACGAAUGGAGUUGCUGUGGCCUGGAUGAAAUGCGCGAGUCAAAAUGUAACCUUGGAAAAGGAAACAAAAAAUACAAGAGAACAAAAGAAUGUGAAUAAAGUUCCCGGCUUGUCUUACUAUACAGCACCCACUACAUUGCAUCUGGCAGAUCCUACAAACCGAGUGUGUUCUGUCCAUUAUUUUAUUUGCACAGUCAAAAGCAAGGAAAGUAUCACUUCAACCAUCCUGAGCUUUUCCUCAACACUGCACUUUUUGCAGAAAUCCCAUUGCAGUUACUAGCACGAUUUCCAUUGAAGUCAAUGUCACCAGAAGUAAUCCUGAGGAAAUUCUGUCUUCCAUGUGGGAUGGAGGAAGAACAUAAGAUGUAGGAGCAGAAGUAGACCAUUUGCUCCAGUGAGCUUGCACCAUUAUUUAAUAAGACAAUGGUUGAUCUGAUAAUGCUCACCUCCGCUCAUCUGCCUUUUCCCCAUAACCUUUGAUUCACUUAUUGACUAAAAUCUGUCAAUCUCAGCCUUUUGAUUUCUAUCAUGACUAGCCCUCUGCAGUAAGGGAUUGACUAUCUUCAGAGAAAUUUUUCCUUCUUUAUUAUUUGGGUGACCCCUUACUCUGAGACUUGCCCCUCCGGUCCUAGACUCUCCUAUGAGGGGAAACAACCUCUCUGCAUGUAUCCGUUAUGUUUCACUAAGGUCUCCUGUAUAUCUUCUGCACUUUUGAGUACAGGCCCAAUCGAUUCAACCUCUCCUUAUAAGAAAAUCCCAUCAUGCCUGGGAUCAAACUAGUGCACUUUCUCUGGAGUGCCUCUAGUGGCAGUAAAUCCUUCCUUGGAUAAUGGGACCAAAACUGUUUACAGUAUUCUGGGUGUGGUCUGGCUAGUGCCUUGUAGAAUGAGGAGGAAGAAUGUUAGCGAUACUUGGCAGUGAGGUUCAUGACUGCAAAACCACUAAAAAUUUCUAAACAAGUGCCCCUGACUUGAAGUCAUCUGAUCAGCGGCUUUCUGUAACUGGGCAUGCUGUUGAAUUGGAAAAAGCCUUGGGAAUCUUCUACUGGAGAGGACUGUGGAUGCUCAGCUUUUGAGCGUAUUCCGCACCGAAAGCCGUAGAUUUUUGGGCACUAAAGGUAUCGAGGGAUUUGAGUGGGGAAAAUGGAGUUAAUGUAGAGAUCCACUCUUGAUAGUACUGAAUAGUUCAAGCGACCCUUAACAUGCUGCUAACUUUCUUCCUAACAUUGAAGUUGGGCAGUUGACUUCAAAACUUAACUGUUUUAAACUGCUCAUCAGGACCCAAGUGACUGACUCAACUUGUUCCAGGUAGAUGGAGUGGGAGACACUUUCCUUCACCUCGACAUUUUGUUUUGAGCUAUUUUUGAAAGUGCAACGCCUUCGUAAAGGAUUGAACUGGACGAGGCCAUUCAGCCCUUUGAGCCUGCUUCUCCCACUAAAUUAAUCACAUGCUCCCACUCCAUUUUCCUCCAUUGCUUUUAAUAUUCCAGUGUGGAACUUCCUUGACAUUUUUUCUUUGUAUUUUAAUUCACUGUUCAUUCAUAUCCUGCUAACAAUUGACCACAUUAUCAUCCAGUCACUGUUUUAAAAUGGCCCAUUCUGACCUUUUUUUUUGUUCCAUUUCAAGUUCACAAAUCUUGUAUAAAUUUGUUUGCUUUAGCACAACUAGCAGGUGUAAUUACAGCAUCUCGUGUUUACAUGGUGUUUUCCAUUCUAAAGGUAGGGAUCAGAAUUUAAUGUAGAAAGCUAUCUGGAAUUGCAUUCAGGUGUAAGACUUUUAAAAGAUACUCAGUUCUUUAAUCCCAAGCUAUCAUGAUGCAUUAUGUCUCAUGAAACUGCUCAUACAGUAAUUUUGAGAAUUCCCCAUCUUUACAAAAAAUAAAGGGUAAUUCAUAUAGAAUUGCUUCCUUGCUGUCUUCAAUCAUUGAAGCUCCCAUUAAUUAUCCUAACUGCUCUAUCUCAGGAUUUUUGAUUGAGUUUUCCUGAAUUAGAGAAAAUUAAGGUGUCAUUGUAACCAAGUUAUUUUGAAUUCAAGUAUGCUUUAUGCCCUCACAUGUUAGGGGCUGUAAGGGAGUUGGCUGAAGGCAUUUUCCAGUGUCUGGAGCCAAGAAGUGGCAAAAAUCCACUGACUAAUGUAUCUGAGAGGCAGGAACGCACUCGUGUGUUCCAGGGCAAAGAGGAAUCACUUGGUGUCCCCUCUGGAUACUGUGCUGGAUAAAUAGGCAGCUUUGAAUGCACGUUAGCAAGCUUGGCAGGGAGGGCCUCCAGUAUGAAAUAGCCUAGUGCCAUUCACUUGAACACAAAGCACUUGGGGAAGGUGCUGACUGGCACUUAUGAAGCCAUAGCCCAACAGUCAAGUCCUUGAGUGGAGAAUUUUACAAAAGAGAAUACUUUUGUUUUAACAAUAACCGUCUGCCUGUUAGGACUGUAGUUUGGAAGUCCUUUCUGUCAAAGAGGCUUCUUGAUGACCUGUGGAACUGAGACUUCCUAUCCAAUCUGCAUCUUUCAUUCUUCUACCUUCUCCAUGUUUUCCAAUUAUUCAGACAGCUCAGAACCGAACCUUUUGGGGUUACCAUCUACCUUGUUGACUCAAUCCUUUUACAUUUCUUAGUAAAUCUGAGAUGGGUGGGGACAGCUGCACUCAGCUCUAAGAACAGAGAGAUGCAAAGUGAUUUUUGGAGCUUGCUGUGUCUUCUGGGAACUGAGGAAGUCAUUUUGUGACAAAAACCACUCUCUUGCCUUGUUUAAAAGCAGCAUGUUUACAGAUCAUGAGUGAGGUUCUUUCUUUUUUGUUUUCUUAAAUGCAAUAUGUAUUAAAGCGAUUAACUUAGUGAUGUGUAGCACUUUAGUCAUAGUUCAAUCAAGGUAAAAGUGUAUGAUAUUGUGUGAUCUAUAAUGCAGUAUAUUUGUCUGUGUGCCUCCAGCCUUUGCUCUGUGUAACCAGCCCUACUGGUAAUUUUGCAUUAAUUGCCUCAAUAGAUCUGACAUGGUGAGGGGUGGGGGAUGUUGGUGUUUAUGUUUGAUUCUGAAGCUGAGGUACUUGCUCAGGAUAACAUGAGGGUUGAUAGUUGAAACAGUGCAAUACAAUAUCCAAUUCACAUUCCUUGUAAACUUUAACAUGAACCCUUUUUUUGAAGUUCAUUUGUGUGAGAUGGGAUUGAAUUAGGACCCCCCCCGCCAACUCUGGGGGAAGAUCCCUUGUAACUAGGUGGGCUUUUGGAUUGAGUGGGCCACAGAGUUUACACAUUUAGCCUCAGCUGCCCAUCUGUUGAAGAUCUUGGUGAUUGCCUCUUGCAGUUUGUCGAACCUCUGACCUUCAGGUUCCACUGAUGGUUAAAGCAUCAUCUUUAGCUCUUGAAUUGUAGGGACCUGGUGAAAUCCUCGACUUCUGUCUUCAGUCUGCGCUGAAUUAGCUGAUAUUAGGCCCAUCUAUAAUUACUGACAGUGGCACUGCUAGGCACCUUCAGCUGAUGGUCCAGCUUCUGAUUGUUAUUCCAUGCCCUUGUGCUGCUGGGAAGAAGGCUGUUCAGCUGGACCUCCUUGGCAGUGCUUUCCUCCAGUUAGCCUGCCACAAUAGUCAGUCAACAUGAUCAGCACAAUUCCGAGUCCGAGUCUGCUGACCCUACAAAACAUUUGUGCAGUCCGUGCCUUCGUUUCUCCUUACAGCACACCAGAAUGACAGCAGGUUCGAAUCUGUUUGUAUCUGAGAUUAAGCAAAUGGAAACUUGCUGAGUUUAUUUAAAAAUGUCAAAUAUCCAGUGUGAAUAUGUCCACUUUGGCUGUCCAUUGUCACUGCUGGUAUCUCCUAUUGAAAUCAUUCUCUGAUUCUAAGGAUGAGACAUUCAAAUCAUUACUCCAGUUACUUAAGUAUACAGUCCAGACUCUCUCACCUCGUAUAGCAGCGAGGCAUUGCUGCACUCCCUUUCGGGUGACACGUUGAACUAAGGCACCACUUACUGAGCCCCUGGCACCGUGUGGGCAGGAGUAUGAAGCUUGUUCCAAGUCAACGUUGCCGUAACAUUCCCAAUGAGCACUAGAAGACAAAUUCUCUGGGCGUUCACUUUGCUCCUCCUUCAUGGGAUCUUGCUGUGUGUGUAAAAUAGCAGCUGCAGACUGUGAUGUAGCAACAGCGUCUGUACUGCAGAAAUUCAAUUUGUUUCUCGUGAAGCCAUUUGGGACAUUUCCAAGCAAUCUGAUACUAUGCAGCAGGAUUGAAAAUCCUUUUGACCAAUUCUGUAUACUGGAGGUAAUUUGGAAAAAUUUCAAGUAAUUCAGUUUUAUUGAACAAAACAGUGUGAAUUCAGCUUUGGUGUAUAUUAUAAAAUCUUACAGCACAGAAGACGGUUUUUUGAUCCAUUGAACCUCUUCUGGCUCCUAGGAAGUUCAAUUAGUCAUGCUGCUUCCCCUGUAAUGCUGCAAGUAUUUGUUCAAGACUCCUUUGAAAAUAAUUAUUAAAAUAUUUAAUAACUAAAUUGGCUUCUAUCACCCUUUUCAGGCAAUGUGUACCAAAUGAACACAUGGUUUAAAAAUUAAAUUGCUCUGAUCUGUUUUUGCCAGUCAACUUAAAUCCAUUGCUGACUGUUUCCACUAGCAGGAAACAAUGGAGAUGUCAGAUCCUAAUUCCUUAAAGAUGCUUUGUCAUGUCUCUCCUCCUGAUAAGAAAGUUCAGGGGUACUUUUGGCUUCAAGUCUGGUUCUUCUAGACUCUGCACUUGUUUUAGUUUCCACACACUUGUGUCCACUUUGUGAGCACCAGCGAUCAAAUGUUCCUUCGCACUGUCCUUUUAUUGCAGAAAUCAGCGUGUGGAUAUUUCAGACUUGUUGCAAAACGGAGUCACACCAGCUCACCACUCUUGCUGAAUUCACAGUUGAGUUGAUCGCGAUUCUUGUUUAGAUCUGCAGCAGUUAUUGCAAUGUCUGCCUUGGAGAAAUGGAAUGUUUUGGGCAAUAAAGUCAAGUCUGCCUCUAGUGAUGCACUGACUGUCCAUUUCAUAUUGUAACCCCCACUAAAGCAAAAGUGCAAGGGCGGGUAAUCACAGCGGUUUUCUGCUGUUGUGGCAGAUGUUAAAUGUGAUGCAUAAAUUGCUGGGCUCCUUGACUUCACCUCUGCCCCUCAUCCUCUGGUCUCGCUUUCACCACAUUGAUCUGUCUCACCCUACUCUGGCAUUGGCACUUCCAGAGUGGUGGGGAGUGCCAUUGAGCCAUGGAGAGACCUCUCAGCAAAUUUGGAAGGGUCUCUGGUCACACAGCCUGGAAUAGGGUGGUGUUACAGUAACCAGGCAAAAGGGACUGUGGGGUGGGAAGCUGCAUUUAAAUAGAAAUCUCCCUCAAAAAGUUCUUUUUCACUAGAUGCCAUUUGCUAAUUUAUUGAGGAGGGUGGAAGUAAAGACACGCUAUGGUUACCACAGGGACCAGAGGGGCUGCUGUACAAGGAGGGUGAACCAUUCAAUUGGCUUCAAUGUGCCAAGUCAUCACAGCUGCAGAAAGAGGAAGGGGGUUGGCUAGCUGGACAGGUCCCGACAAAUGGCUUAGUCAUAUCUCAAGUUGGGGAUCUAGGUAGGACACCCUUCAUCUGAUCAGUAUCCAGUGAAAUGAUAAAAUACAUGUAGGAUGUGAUUGGGAUUCCGCAAAUUUGCUUUUUCCUUGCUGAGUUCUCAAAGCUUGUGUAGAUCACACAUGCUCGUGAAGACUGUCCACAUGGAAAAGGACAUUGGAAGUUAACUGGCAUUUGUACCUCAGCAGGAGAUGAGGUGGGGAGGGCAGUGGGUAGGGUUAAAAUUGAAAUAAUCUGUGUCUGAUCUAGUAAACAUCUGAGUACCAGUAUGGCUGAAUCCAAAGUAGGAUUAUGAUGUUACUAUGCAAUUACUGUUUCAUUAGAGGAGCAGCUUAGAAUAUUGUGUGUGUCUGUAUACAUCUGAGAUGUGAAUCUCCCAUCAGUGUUAAACGACAGACUAUGUUUAACAAAAGCAAAUGUACAAUGAAGGACACUGUGUAGAUAAACUGACCAUAAUGAUCAGU